rnacentral:rRNA from 1 species
GUCUACGGCCACACCACCCUGAAUGCGCCCGAUCUCGCCUGAUCUCGGAAGCUAAGCAGGGUCGGGCCUGGUUAGUACUUGGAUGGAAGACA